rnacentral:rRNA from 1 species
GACGAACGCUGGCGGCGUGCCUAAUACAUGCAAGUCGAACGCUUCUUUCCUCCCGAGUGCUUGCACUCAAUUGGAAAGAGGAGUGGCGGACGGGUGAGUAACACGUGGGUAACCUACCCAUCAGAGGGGGAUAACACUUGGAAACAGGUGCUAAUACCGCAUAACAGUUUAUGCCGCAUGGCAUAAGAGUGAAAGGCGCUUUCGGGUGUCGCUGAUGGAUGGACCCGCGGUGCAUUAGCUAGUUGGUGAGGUAACGGCUCACCAAGGCCACGAUGCAUAGCCGACCUGAGAGGGUGAUCGGCCACACUGGGACUGAGACACGGCCCAGACUCCUACGGGAGGCAGCAGUAGGGAAUCUUCGGCGAUGGACAAAAGUCUGACCGAGCAACGCCGCGUGAGUGAAGAAGGUUUUCGGAUCGUAAAACUCUGUUGUUAGAGAAGAACAAGGACGUUAGUAACUGAACGUCCCCUGACGGUAUCUAACCAGAAAGCCACGGCUAACUACGUG